rnacentral:rRNA from 1 species
UACGGGGGGGGCAAGCGUUGUUCGGAAUUACUGGGCGUAAAGGGCUCGUAGGUGGCCAACUAAGUCAGACGUGAAAUCCCUCGGCUUAACCGGGGAACUGCGUCUGAUACUGGAUGGCUUGAGUUCGGGAGAGGGAUGCGGAAUUCCAGGUGUAGCGGUGGAAUGCGCAGAUAUCAGGAGGAACACCAAUAGCGAAGGCAGCUCGCUGGGACGGUACUGACGCUAAGGCGCGAAAGCGUGGGGAGCGAACAGG